UACAUGGGGUGCAAACGUUGCUCGGAAUUAUUGGGCGUAAAGCGCGCGUAGGCGGUUACUUAAGUCGGAUGUGAAAGCCCUCGGCUUAACUGAGGAAGUGCACCCGAAACUGAGUAGCUAGAGUACGAAAGAGGGUCGCGGAAUUCCCGGUGUAGUGGUGAAAUGCGUAGAUAUCGGGAGGAACACCAGUGGCGAAGGCGACUUCCUGGCCUGUUCUUGACGCUGAGGCGCGAAAGCUAGGGGAGCAAACGGG
rnacentral:rRNA from 1 species